CAGCCGUAAACUAUGCGCGUUAGGUGUAUCGGUGACCACGAGUUACCGAGGUGCCGAAGGGAAACCGUGAAACGUACCGCCUGGGAAGUACGGUCGCAAGGCUGAAACUUAAAGGAAUUGGCGGGGGAGCACCACAACAGGUGGAGCCUGCGGUUUAAUUGGACUCAACGCCGGGAAGCUCACCGGAUAGGACAGCAGAAUGAUUGCCGGGCUGAAGACCCUGCAUGACUAGCUGAGAGGUGGUGCAUGGCGUCAGUGACU
rnacentral:rRNA from 1 species